rnacentral:lncRNA from 1 species
AUGGCCUCGUUCCCGUAUUGUGAGUACCACAUGCUUCGGCUCCUGCUCAGGUACGUCCCGGGCAGCGCGGAUGCCAGCUUCUGCUGCUGCUGUUGCCAGACAGAGCUUUCUCUGCCAGCGGGACGCGGCCACUCAUCACUGGCCAGAACCUCCCCGCGCCUGGGCUCCCGCACAGCUGCCAGCUGCUCUGCACUAAACGCCACUAGUGAAGAAGGCUUGCGGCAGCUCGGCGUGAGGAUUCCUUCUUUAGCUUAAUGGUCACGAGGAACUCAGGCCAUUUGCAGGCAACACCCUAUAUGAGGGCUCUCUGCGAGGAAACUGCAGAGGAGUCUCCAAGCAUUCCGAAGACAGCCAAGAGCCACACGUGAGUCGGCAGGCAGGUCAGCGGAGCCCCAGCCGCAGCGUGCCCCGGUGACGGUUCGUGCUCUGUGUCAGGUGUGCCGAUGACAGGGACGAGGCCCUCACCUCGGGCGGGACUUGUCAAGUGUCCACUGCGAGUCUGACACGACCCAGACCGCUGCAUCUGAAGAUACACAUCCGCUGUCCUGCAUGAAAAGACAUUGUACACUAGGCAGAAACCGACAGCAGCUUCUGUAAGCACUGCCCUCCUGAUCUGCGCCUGGGUGAGCCUUCAGCAGUGCAGAGGCGGUCGGAUCCCUGCCAGGGGUGUGGAGCCCGCUUUUUGUGCAGAGCUUUCUCCUGGCUAGCCUUCGGCUCCUCCGCAACGUGAUGCUACAAAGAAACGAGCCUGCUGUCAGGUGUCGGGAGAGGGAAGGACCUCGGCGGUCCUGGCAGGGCUUAAGGCACGGGAUCCUUCUUAACUCUUGGGAUCAGAGCCCUUAAACCAAGCCACCCAGCCCCAUGCUCCCACUAUUUCGGUUGCUUCGCGGUGACGCAAUGAGCUUGGGUUUAAGAGGCAGAAGGAUGCCUCAUCCUAGUUCUUCUGUGAACUAUGGGGGUGGUACUGGGGAAACCCCUUGCUGGAGAGCUGAGAAAUAAGUUCUAGGAAUCUGUCGGGGCGCAGAAAGGACCUGCUCACGCUGGUACCCACCCAGCGCCCCCUUUCUCCUCCGAGCAGCCGGGAGGGCCCUGAACCCGAAGGAAGAAUGACGUCGGGGAGAGCCGGACAGGGCGCACCCACAGCGGCCCCAGCCCCGGCUCUCCCGGCCACACGACUUCUCCCUUCCGUGCGGCCCGCGCGCCCGUCGCCCAGCCGCGUCCUCGAAACCCGCCGAGCCCCCGCGGCCCGCCC